UACGUAGGGUGCGAGCGUUGUCCGGAAUUAUUGGGCGUAAAGGGCUCGUAGGCGGUUUGUCGCGUCGGGAGUGAAAACUCAGGGCUCAACCCUGAGCGUGCUUCCGAUACGGGCAGACUAGAGGUAUGCAGGGGAGAACGGAAUUCCUGGUGUAGCGGUGGAAUGCGCAGAUAUCAGGAGGAACACCGGUGGCGAAGGCGGUUCUCUGGGCAUUACCUGACGCUGAGGAGCGAAAGCAUGGGGAGCGAACGGG
rnacentral:rRNA from 1 species